AUUGAACGCUGGCGGCAGGCCUAAUACAUGCAAGUCGAACGGAAACAGGAAGCAGUUUGCUGCUUUGCUGACGAGUGGCGGACGGGUGUGAAAUGUCUGUGAAACAGCUAGAUGGAGGGGGAUAACUACUGGAAACGGUAGUAAAAACGGCAUAACGAUGCAAGAGCAAAGAGGGGGAGUUUCGGGCGUCUUGCCAUCGGCUGUGCCCAGAUGGGAUUAGCUAGUAGGUGGGGUAACGGCUCACCUAGGCGACGGUCCGUAGCGGGUCUGAGAGGAUGACCAGCCACACUGGAACUGAGACACGGUCCAGACUCCUACGGAAGGCAGCAGUGGGGAAUAUUGCACAAUGGGCGCAAGCCUGAUGCAGCCAUGCCGCGUGUAUGAAGAAGGCCUUCGGGUUGUAAAGUACUUUCAGCGGGGAGGAAGGGAGUAAAGUUAAUACCUUUGCUCAUUGACGUUACCCGCAGAAGAAGCACCGGCUAACUCCGUG
rnacentral:rRNA from 1 species